AAGUGAGACUCUACUGUAUGUAUGUAUGUGUGUGUGUGUGUGUGUGUAUGUGUGUAUAUAUAUAUACACACACACACACACACACUUGUUUGACAAAUA
rnacentral:miRNA from 11 species